AUUGAACGCUGGCGGCAGGCCUAACACAUGCAAGUCGAACGAGUGGCGGACGGGUGAGUAAUGUAUGGGAAACUGCCUGAUGGAGGGGGAUAACUACUGGAAACGGUAGCUAAUCCCGCAUACCAUCGGAUGUGCCCAGAUGGGAUUAGCUAGUAGGUGGGGUAAAGGCUCACCUAGGCGAAGAUCCCUAGCUGGUCUGAGAGGAUGACCAGCCACACUGGAACUGAGACACGGUCCAGACUCCUACGGGAGGCAGCAGUGGGGAAGAUUGCACAAUGGGCGCAAGCCUGAUGGAGCCACGCCGCGUGUAUGAAGAAGGCUUUCGGGUUGUAAAGUACUUUUAGCGGGGAGGCGGUACCUGACCAAGAAGCACCGGCUAACUCCGUGCCAGCAGCCGCGGUAAUAC
rnacentral:rRNA from 1 species